GGUGUAGCUCAGCUGGCUAGAGCGUACGGUUCAUACCCGUGAGGUCGGGGGUUCGAUCCCCUCCGC
rnacentral:tRNA from 1 species